GGGUUGUGAGGUUAAGCGACUAAGCGUACACGGUGGAUGCCCUGGCAGUCAGAGGCGAUGAAGGACGUGCUAAUCUGCGAUAAGCGUCGGUAAGGUGAUAUGAACCGUUAUAACCGGCGAUUUCCGAAUGGGGAAACCCAGUGUGUUUCGACACACUAUCAUUAACUGAAUCCAUAGGUUAAUGAGGCGAACCGGGGGAACUGAAACAUCUAAGUACCCCGAGGAAAAGAAAUCAACCGAGAUUCCCCCAGUAGCGGCGAGCGAACGGGGAGCAGCCCAGAGCCUGAAUCAGUGUGUGUGUUAGUGGAAGCGUCUGGAAAGGCGCGCGAUACAGGGUGACAGCCCCGUACACAAAAAUGCACAUGCUGUGAGCUCGAUGAGUAGGGCGGGACACGUGGUAUCCUGUCUGAAUAUGGGGGGACCAUCCUCCAAGGCUAAAUACUCCUGACUGACCGAUAGUGAACCAGUACCGUGAGGGAAAGGCGAAAAGAACCCCGGCGAGGGGAGUGAAAAAGAACCUGAAACCGUGUACGUACAAGCAGUGGGAGCACGCUUAGGCGUGUGACUGCGUACCUUUUGUAUAAUGGGUCAGCGACUUAUAUUCUGUAGCAAGGUUAACCGAAUAGGGGAGCCGAAGGGAAACCGAGUCUUAACUGGGCGUUAAGUUGCAGGGUAUAGACCCGAAACCCGGUGAUCUAGCCAUGGGCAGGUUGAAGGUUGGGUAACACUAACUGGAGGACCGAACCGACUAAUGUUGAAAAAUUAGCGGAUGACUUGUGGCUGGGGGUGAAAGGCCAAUCAAACCGGGAGAUAGCUGGUUCUCCCCGAAAGCUAUUUAGGUAGCGCCUCGUGAAUUCAUCUCCGGGGGUAGAGCACUGUUUCGGCAAGGGGGUCAUCCCGACUUACCAACCCGAUGCAAACUGCGAAUACCGGAGAAUGUUAUCACGGGAGACACACGGCGGGUGCUAACGUCCGUCGUGAAGAGGGAAACAACCCAGACCGCCAGCUAAGGUCCCAAAGUCAUGGUUAAGUGGGAAACGAUGUGGGAAGGCCCAGACAGCCAGGAUGUUGGCUUAGAAGCAGCCAUCAUUUAAAGAAAGCGUAAUAGCUCACUGGUCGAGUCGGCCUGCGCGGAAGAUGUAACGGGGCUAAACCAUGCACCGAAGCUGCGGCAGCGACGCUGAUGCGUUGUUGGGUAGGGGAGCGUUCUGUAAGCCUGCGAAGGUGUGCUGUGAGGCAUGCUGGAGGUAUCAGAAGUGCGAAUGCUGACAUAAGUAACGAUAAAGCGGGUGAAAAGCCCGCUCGCCGGAAGACCAAGGGUUCCUGUCCAACGUUAAUCGGGGCAGGGUGAGUCGACCCCUAAGGCGAGGCCGAAAGGCGUAGUCGAUGGGAAACAGGUUAAUAUUCCUGUACUUGGUGUUACUGCGAAGGGGGGACGGAGAAGGCUAUGUUGGCCGGGCGACGGUUGUCCCGGUUUAAGCGUGUAGGCUGGUUUUCCAGGCAAAUCCGGAAAAUCAAGGCUGAGGCGUGAUGACGAGGCACUACGGUGCUGAAGCAACAAAUGCCCUGCUUCCAGGAAAAGCCUCUAAGCAUCAGGUAACAUCAAAUCGUACCCCAAACCGACACAGGUGGUCAGGUAGAGAAUACCAAGGCGCUUGAGAGAACUCGGGUGAAGGAACUAGGCAAAAUGGUGCCGUAACUUCGGGAGAAGGCACGCUGAUAUGUAGGUGAAGUCCCUUGCGGAUGGAGCUGAAAUCAGUCGAAGAUACCAGCUGGCUGCAACUGUUUAUUAAAAACACAGCACUGUGCAAACACGAAAGUGGACGUAUACGGUGUGACGCCUGCCCGGUGCCGGAAGGUUAAUUGAUGGGGUUAGCCGCAAGGCGAAGCUCUUGAUCGAAGCCCCGGUAAACGGCGGCCGUAACUAUAACGGUCCUAAGGUAGCGAAAUUCCUUGUCGGGUAAGUUCCGACCUGCACGAAUGGCGUAAUGAUGGCCAGGCUGUCUCCACCCGAGACUCAGUGAAAUUGAACUCGCUGUGAAGAUGCAGUGUACCCGCGGCAAGACGGAAAGACCCCGUGAACCUUUACUAUAGCUUGACACUGAACAUUGAGCCUUGAUGUGUAGGAUAGGUGGGAGGCUUUGAAGUGUGGACGCCAGUCUGCAUGGAGCCGACCUUGAAAUACCACCCUUUAAUGUUUGAUGUUCUAACGUUGACCCGUAAUCCGGGUUGCGGACAGUGUCUGGUGGGUAGUUUGACUGGGGCGGUCUCCUCCUAAAGAGUAACGGAGGAGCACGAAGGUUGGCUAAUCCUGGUCGGACAUCAGGAGGUUAGUGCAAUGGCAUAAGCCAGCUUGACUGCGAGCGUGACGGCGCGAGCAGGUGCGAAAGCAGGUCAUAGUGAUCCGGUGGUUCUGAAUGGAAGGGCCAUCGCUCAACGGAUAAAAGGUACUCCGGGGAUAACAGGCUGAUACCGCCCAAGAGUUCAUAUCGACGGCGGUGUUUGGCACCUCGAUGUCGGCUCAUCACAUCCUGGGGCUGAAGUAGGUCCCAAGGGUAUGGCUGUUCGCCAUUUAAAGUGGUACGCGAGCUGGGUUUAGAACGUCGUGAGACAGUUCGGUCCCUAUCUGCCGUGGGCGCUGGAGAACUGAGGGGGGCUGCUCCUAGUACGAGAGGACCGGAGUGGACGCAUCACUGGUGUUCGGGUUGUCAUGCCAAUGGCACUGCCCGGUAGCUAAAUGCGGAAGAGAUAAGUGCUGAAAGCAUCUAAGCACGAAACUUGCCCCGAGAUGAGUUCUCCCUGACCCUUUAAGGGUCCUGAAGGAACGUUGAAGACGACGACGUUGAUAGGCCGGGUGUGUAAGCGCAGCGAUGCGUUGAGCUAACCGGUACUAAUGAACCGUGAGGCUUAACCUUACAACGCCGAAGCUGUU
rnacentral:rRNA from 1 species